UACGUAGGGCGCAAGCGUUAUCCGGAAUUACUGGGCGUAAAGCGUGCGUAGGUGGUUUGUUAAGUCUGAUGUGAAAGCCCCUGGGCUCAACCUGGGAAUUGCAUUGGAUACUGGCAGGCUAGAGUGCGGUAGAGGAUGGCGGAAUUCCCGGUGUAGCAGUGAAAUGCGUAGAGAUCGGGAGGAACAUCUGUGGCGAAGGCGGCCAUCUGGACCAGCACUGACACUGAGGCACGAAAGCGUGGGGAGCAAACAGG
rnacentral:rRNA from 1 species